rnacentral:rRNA from 1 species
AUGCGGAGGAUCCGAGCGUUAUCCGGAUUUAUUGGGUUUAAAGGGUGCGUAGGCGGCCUUUUAAGUCAGCGGUGAAAGUCUGUGGCUCAACCAUAGAAUUGCCGUUGAAACUGGGAGGCUUGAGUAUGUUUGAGGCAGGCGGAAUGCGUGGGGUAGCGGUGAAAUGUUUAGAUAUCACGCAGAACCCCGAUUGGGAAGGCAGCCUGCCAAGCCAUGACUGACGCUGAUGCACGAAAGCGUGGGGAUCAAACAGGAUUAGAUACCCUGGUAGUCCACGCAGUAAACGAUGAUCACUAGCUGUUUGCGAUACACUGUAAGCGGCACAGCGAAAGCGUUAAGUGAUCCACCUGGGGAGUACGCCGGCAACGGUGAAACUCAAAUGAAUUGACGGGG